AAACCACUCCCUGGGUCCCCGCCGGAGGCUGGCCCAGGGCAGUCCCACAGCCGCGCGCCUCACGCGCAGUUGCCCAUGGCCUUGACCAAGGAGCUCUCUGGCAGCUGGCGGAAGAUGCCCCGCAGCGUGUCCAGUUCGCGGCUCAGCUGUUCCACCCGCUUGCGCAGGCGGUCAUUGUCACUGGUCAGCUCCAGCACCUUCUGCUGCGUCUCCACGUUGCGCUGCUUGGCCUUGUCGCGGCUCUUGCGCACCGCGAUGUUGUUGCGCUCGCGCCGCACCCGGUACUCGUUGCUGUUCUUGUCCACCGACUUCUUGGCCUUGCCCGCGCCGCUGCCGCCACUCGCGCGGAGGUCGGGGUGCGCGGGCGGCGGGUGCGGGUGCGGGUGCGGGUGCGAGGGCGGCGGCGGCGGCGGCGGCUGGUAAGGGAAGAGGCCGGCCAGCGCCAGCUGCUUGGCUUCAUCCUCCUCGCGGGGCUCCUGCUUGAUCAC
rnacentral:antisense_RNA from 1 species